GAUGAACGCUGGCGGCGUGCCUAAUACAUGCAAGUCGAGCGAACGGACGAGAAGCUUGCUUCUCUGAUGUUAGCGGCGGACGGGUGAGUAACACGUGGAUAACCUACCUAUAAGACUGGGAUAACUUCGGGAAACCGUAGCUAAUACCGGAUAAUAUUUUGAACCGCAUGGUUCAAAAGUGAAAGACGGUCUUGCUGUCACUUAUAGAUGGAUCCGCGCUGCAUUAGCUAGUUGGUAAGGUAACGGCUUACCAAUGCAACGAUGCAUAGCCGACCUGAGAGGGUGAUCGGCCACACUGGAACUGAGACACGGUCCAGACUCCUACGGGAGGCAGCAGUAGGGAAUCUUCCGCAAUGGGCGAAAGCCUGACGGAGCAACGCCGCGUGAGUGAUGAAGGUCUUCGGAUCGUAAAACUCUGUUAUUAGGGAAGAACAUAUGUGUAAGUAACUGUGCACAUCUUGACGGUACCUAAUCAGAAAGCCACGGCUAACUACGUG
rnacentral:rRNA from 1 species